rnacentral:rRNA from 1 species
CUACGGGGCGCUCCAGUGGGGAAUAUUGGACAAUGGGGGAAACCCUGAUCCAGCAAUGCCGCGUGUGUGAAGAAGGCCUGCGGGUUGUAAAGCACUUUCGGUUGGGAGGACUGCUUCUAGCACUAAUAUUGUUGGAAGUUGACGUUACCUUCAGAAGAAGCACCGGCUAACUCCGUGCCAGCAGCCGCGGUAAUACGGAGGGUGACAAGCGUUAAUCGGAAUUACUGGGCGUAAAGCGCGCGUAGGCGGCUAGAUCAGUCGGGUGUGAAAGCCCCGGGCUUAACCUGGGAACUGCAUCCGAUACUGUCUAGCUUGAGUACAGGAGAGGAGAGUGGAAUUCCACAUGUAGCGGUGCAAUGCGUAGAUAUGUGGAGGAACACCAAUGGCGAAGGCAGCUCUCUGGCCUGAUACUGACGCUGAGGUGCGAAAGCGUGGGGAGCAAACAGGAUUAGAUACCCUGUAGUC